CCUUGAUCAGCCACAUUGCCUGGUGAUCUCACAGGAAGGGAUACAUUUCUGAUCAUUUGGACAGAUUAAAGGUAUAAAUAGAGUUUAACUCCUAGAGGCCUUCUGUUUCCACUUGGUAUUUAUUCUGAAAUGAUAAUUUGAAAUAAAACAAAAAAUGUGCUAUCAAGAUAGUCAGAUUUGUUGGGCUUUUGAAAAUGGGAUGCUGAAGGGUCACGUGAAGCAUGUAUGUUGCCCAGCCCUGUGCUAAAUUUUCAGGAAGAUGCUCAUCUCAAAUAUAGGUGGGAUAUUUUAAGAAUUAGGUAACAGUAUAUUUAAAAGUAUUUCCAGGAUUGCAUAAGAACAAAAUACUGCAGCCACAUUAUUUAGUGACCAAUACAUUUUCUGAGUUAAUAUUUAUCAACUUUUAAAUAUUGCAUGCAAAUAAAGUUUGUUUAGCAUUAGCACACUACUGCUUGGAUUCCAACCAUUUUGGAAUCCUUCACAAAUGAAAGAACUUCCUUAACAAAGAUCAAGCAAUCUGUGAAGGAUGGAGGUUCAAUUGGAGGGUCAGUCUCUAGUAAUUCUUUUUCACACAAUGGGAAAACUGCAAUUAGCAGCAGAUUCUUAAUAGCAAAUGUGAAAAUAAAUAAAACUGAAUAUGAUUGGGACUGCCUUUGGAAUAAAUAAUUUGUGCAGCACAUAUGUUUUGUGGGGCAUAUACAUUGCCCGGACAUCACUGAAAUUUAUAUUAAACAUACACACUUAUCUACUGAACUACUAUUGUGUACAGUCAUUCUCUGCAUUUGACACAACCAUUUGUUUCAAUUUUAAUGUAAACAGAAAAAAGCAUGUAAAAAUCAAAAGUAUUGAUCACAACUAUAAAAAGCUAAGUACAGACUUACAGCUUUAAAUACAUAUUAAAUAUGUGUGUUGGAAAUAGUAACAAAACAUUUUACUCACAGUAUAAAGCAAACAAAAAUGCAAUGUCAUGAUUAGUUGCUGGUUUGCAAUUAUUCAAUCUACAAAAGCUCAACAUACAUUAUAUAUUAUAUAUUACAUUAGAUAUUAACAAUCGUUCCCAUUUACAAAAAUUGGAACUUUGUAAAAAUAAUUCUAGGUAUAUUUGAAUAAAAGUCACCUUUAUUUUUCCCUCAGAAUAGUUGCAUGGAUUUUUUAAAUGUAGAAUCAGGCAUAAAUUUAUUGAGAUAUUACUUCAUAAUGUUUUACGUCGUAUUACAUUGUUCACUUUUUACAGAUGGUAGAAUUGUAUAUAGGAAUGAAAAGGCCAAAGGAAAAUGCUUUCUUUUUCGAAGAAUGAGGUAAGUUUGUAGGAUGUCUGAUUAAGAAUACAGAAUCCACAACUCUGAUGAAAUAACAUGACAAGAUUUUGCAAAGCAUUGGGGAGAAAUGCAUAAUGAAUCAUUGGCCUGAGUGAAUUAGGCCUCUUCAAAGCAUUGAGCUUUGAAGGGGUCUAAUGCCCCUUUGAAGGGGCCUGUGCCUUCCAGAGAGGUUGCAUGAUGUAUCCCAUGCCUGAUUGUGCAUGUUGCAUAUCCAGAUACUUCAACUGGGAUUUAUUAACAAAACAAAGCAGUUGUGCAUCUGUGCACACAAGUGGAAAUGGCUUUUGAAGCAAUGACUUAGAAAAGGAUUCUUUAAGGUUAAGAGGUGUUUUCCUUGCACUACUGAGUUUUUAGAGAAGGGCCUUAUCAAUGCUGUGCUACAAAAGUACAGCUACAUAUGGCCUUUAUAGAUAUGUCUUAUGGUGUGUAGGACAACUGUUAUUAAACAAUGGGCAACUGUUUCUAUAUCCAUAGCUGAACUAUAGUCUCAUUAAGAUUCAAACGUAAUACAUAAUGCUGCAUAGAGAUCCAGAUUUGAAGGGCUAAAUGUGAUUUGGAGUGCACAUCUUUUUAUGAAGACUCAUACCAGUUUGAUGCACUUAUUCUGAGGUGCUAUAUGUACACACUUGUGUGUGCUCCAAAUCAUAUUUUGCUCUUUGAAUCCAGCUCUAUACAGUUCUAUAAUACAGGAGAGAAGUUGUUAGAUUAAGGUAAUUCUUAAAAGUUUAUUAGGAAUCCUGACAAUUCAGUGGAAUUUUUUUCAAUAAGAUCUAAUAUUGAAUAUAUUUGAUUUAACCAAUGUAACAGCAUCAAAAUGCAGGCAACUAACUGUAGUUAUAG